AACGGCCAUACCAUGCUGAAUACCGGUUCUCGCUCGAUCACCGAAGUCAAGCAUCAUUGGGUGCGAUCAGUACUUGGGUGGGGGGCCACCUGGGCAU
rnacentral:rRNA from 1 species